rnacentral:pre_miRNA from 1 species
UGGAGAAUAUGAAGAUCAUUCUGGGAAGCAAUGGGGUAAGGAACAGUGUGAGUUUUCCUUCUGUUCCUGGUUCAGUGUUGCUCACCAGCAUGUUUCUCAGUCACAGAAG